rnacentral:rRNA from 1 species
UACGUGAGAGGCGAGCAUUAUUCAUAAUUAUUAGGUGUAAAGGGUACUCAGACGGUCAAAAUUGGCCUUAAUGAAGGUAAAUUAGUAUUUGACUAGAGUUUAAUGUAGGAAGAUAGUACUUUUUAAGUGUAGAGAUGAAAUUCUGUAAUACUCUAGGGACUGGUAAAGGCGAAGGCAAUCUUCUAUGUAAAACUGACGUUAAAGGACGAAGGCUUGGAGAGCGAAUAGG